CACGUAGUUAGCCGUGACUUUCUGGCGGGGCACCAUCAGUCAGCACCCAUUUCCUGAUGCUGCCUUUUUUCCCCCGCAACAGAGCUUUGCGACCCGAAGGCCUUCUUCACUCACGCGGCAUCGCUCGUUCAGGCUUGCGCCCAUUGACGAAAAUUCCCUACUGCUGCCUCCCGCAGGAGUCUGGGCCGUGUCUCAGUCCCAAUGUGGCCGUCCGCCCUCUCAGGCCGGCUAUGCAUCAUCGUCUUAGUGGGCCUUUACCCCGCCAACCAACUAAUGCACCGCAGGUCCAUCCGCGCCCCAUCCCCUAAAGGAUGUUUCACAGAAAGAAGAUGCCUCCUUCCUGUACAUCGGGAUUUGUUCUCCGUUUCCAGAGCGUAUUCCCGGUGCACGGGCAGGUUCCCUAGUGUUACUCACCCGUUCGCCACUAGAGACCCGAAGGUCUCUCGUUCGACUUGCAUGUAUUAGGCAUGCCGCCAGCCGUUCAUCCUGACGCCAGGAUAA
rnacentral:rRNA from 1 species